UAAAGGUCGUCCUACAUAAACCCUUCGUCCACCCGAGCUCGCUCUGUUCUUCCUCUUUCCCCUCUCCUCUCUGUUCUUCCCCUCUUCCUCUCGAGCUCAUCACACAUUUUGCCCAAAUUUGUCAAGAUUUGAAGGCCCCCAUCCAUUCAAAUGAUCACAAAGGUUAGCAACUUUGUCCUUUCAUCUCUCAUUGCUAGAUUAGCUCUUGCAAUGCUUUAUAUAGUGAUUAAUUUGUGAGUUUAGUAAUUUGGGAGGAAAUAUAUAUAUAUAUGUGCUAGUAUUUGAUUUAUAUGCAAUUUGAGGUCAAAAAUAACACUUAGUUUGCAUAUGAAGGUGUGGUUUACUUAGUGCCUUCUAAAUCUCCGUCGUAACCACCGUCGAUCGCCCGCACCGUCCCGUCGCCGGCACCACCUUGUG
rnacentral:lncRNA from 1 species